rnacentral:rRNA from 1 species
AGUGAACGCUGGCGGCGUGCCUAAUACAUGCAAGUCGAACGGAGUGGCGCACGGGAGAGUAAUGUAUAGCUAAUCUGCCCUACACUAGAGGACAACAGUUGGCAACGACUGCUAAUACUCUAUAGUGUAGGAUGAGGCUAUAUUGUAUCAGCUAGUUGGUGAGGUAAUGGCUCACCAAGGCUAUGACGGAUAACUGGUCUGAGAGGAUGAUCAGUCACGCUGGAACUGAGACACGGUCCACACUCAUACGGGAGAGAGCAGUAGAGAAUAAUGCUAAAUGGGGGAAACCCUCAAGCAGCAACGCCGAGUGGAGGAUGACACUUAUCGGAACGUAAACUCCUUAUGGUCGGGAAGCGGUACCUACAGAAUAAGCACCGGCUAACUCCGUGCCAGCAGCCGCGGUAAUAC